GACAGAGGUGCCAAGCGUUAGGCGGAAUCACUGGGCUUAAAGCGUGUGUAGGUGGAUUUGUAAGUACCUUGUGAAAUCCCAUGGCUCAACCAUGGAACUGCUCGGUAUACUGCGAAUCUUGAGCCACUUAGGGGCUACCGGAACAAAUGGUGGAGCGGUGAAAUGCGUAGAUAUCAUUUGGAACGCCAAUGGUGAAAAACAGGGUAGCUGGGAGUGUGCUGACACUGAGACACGAAAGCCAGGGGAGCGAACGGG
rnacentral:rRNA from 1 species